rnacentral:rRNA from 1 species
UACGGAGGAUGCAAGCGUUAUCCGGAAUGAUUGGGCGUAAAGCGUCCGCAGGUGGCCGUGUAAGUCUGCUGUUAAAGAGUGAGGCUCAACCUCAUAAAGGCAGUGGAAACUACAUGGCUAGAGUGCGUUCGGGGCAGAGGGAAUUCCUGGUGUAGCGGUGAAAUGCGUAGAGAUCAGGAAGAACACCGGUGGCGAAAGCGCUCUGCUAGGCCGCAACUGACACUGAGGGACGAAAGCUAGGGGAGCGAAUGGG